AGCGAACGCUGGCGGCAGGCCUAACACAUGCAAGUCGAACGGAUCCUUCGGGAUUAGUGGCGGACGGGUGAGUAACACGUGGGAACGUGCCCUUUGGUUCGGAACAACUCAGGGAAACUUGAGCUAAUACCGGAUGUGCCCUUCGGGGGAAAGAUUUAUCGCCAUUGGAGCGGCCCGCGUCUGAUUAGCUAGUUGGUGGGGUAAAGGCCCACCAAGGCGACGAUCAGUAGCUGGUCUGAGAGGAUGAUCAGCCACAUUGGGACUGAGACACGGCCCAAACU
rnacentral:rRNA from 1 species